GAUAGAAUGGCUGAAUUUAGGCAUUAGAUUGUAAAUCUAAUUAUGAAAUAAUUUUUCUUCUAUCA
rnacentral:tRNA from 1 species